ACUCCUACGGGAGGCAGCAGUGGGGAAUAUUGCACAAUGGGCGCAAGCCUGAUGCAGCCAUGCCGCGUGUAUGAAGAAGGCCUUCGGGUUGUAAAGUACUUUCAGCAGUGAGGAAGGUGGGUAUGUUAAUAGCAUACUCAUUUGACGUUAGCUGCAGAAGAAGCACCGGCUAACUCCGUGCCAGCAGCCGCGGUAAUACGGAGGGUGCGAGCGUUAAUCGGAAUUACUGGGCGUAAAGCGCAUGCAGGUGGUUUGUUAAGUCAGAUGUGAAAGCCCGGGGCUCAACCUCGGAAUUGCAUUUGAAACUGGCAAACUAGAGUACUGUAGAGGGGGGUAGAAUUUCAGGUGUAGCGGUGAAAUGCGUAGAGAUCUGAAGGAAUACCGGUGGCGAAGGCGGCCCCCUGGACAGAUACUGACACUCAGAUGCGAAAGCUGGGGGAGCAAACAGGAUUAGAUACCCUGGUAGGCUCUAGC
rnacentral:rRNA from 1 species